ensembl:lncRNA
UUAUUGAGAAUGAGAGGGACAGACAGACAGAAUGAUUGAGACAAAAGUAGAGAGAGGGAAAGAGACACAACAGGUAAUAACAGGCCCAUGAUGAUUCAGCAUAUAUGUGGGUAGACAUUAUAACCACAUCCCAUGUGCAUCAUGAAUAGAUACAGUUCCAACUGAUUUAAUACUUCUAAGAAUAGAGCACUGGACUUGAUUCAGCCUAAUGAGUAGUACAUGUGAUGUCAUCAUGAUGUGGUCUCCCCCCACAGGAGUAUUGACGUCUGCAUCUAAAUAGUCUAUUUGUCUUCCUCCACCUCUUCCUGCUCUCCUAGUUUUCUAGCUAUGGCAUGCCAUGAUAUGGAUUAAAAGGGACCAGUGAAUGUACAUAAAUACUUGGUAGGCAUCCAGGAUAAUGCUUUCAUCUUUCCUUUCAUAUCAAUGUUAAUUAAGGAGACCAAUUCAGAGUAUUACAAUGCAGCCAUGGGUUCUGUAAUCAAAGGUUACAUACUUAAAAAGACCAAUUUACAGCAACAACAUAGGAAGUAUGUCAGGACACCAGGUUUAACCACAGAGAGUUGGUCCGAAAAACAUGUUUAACCACAGAGAGUUGGUCCGAAAAACAUGUUUAACCACAGAGAGUCAGUCAGGAAAACAUGUUUAACCACGGAGUCAGUCAGGAAAACAGGUUUAACCACAGAGGGUCUGUCAGGAAAACAGGUUUAACUACAGAGAGUCAAUCAGGAAAACAGGUUUAACCACAGAGAGUCAGUCAGGAAAACAUGUUUAACCACAGAGAGUCAGUCAGGAAAACAUGUUUAACCACAGAGAGUCAGUCAGGAAAACAGGUUUAACCACAGAGAGUCAGUCAGGAAAACAGUUCGUCCAUUUACUAUAACUUUGACCCAACAACUGUCUGGGUGUCUGGGACAUUUAGCAAAAGAAAUUCAAAAAACAGAAUACCCCUUCAAAACAUAUGUAUCUCACCACUGUGCUCUUAACAAUUAGCUAUGUUGCAGCAUUUAUCCUGCACCCUCCCCCCAUCUCACUGCAAUUGUCAGGAACCCCCGACCACUCCCAUGGGACGGCCAUGUCAUGCAUUCUAACCCCUCCCCUCUCAUCUCAUAUUCCAUCACCACAGCAACCUAAUCCAUUUACUUCCUGGAACACACAGCCAGGGCGUGUCAUCAAGCUGCUUUACAUCUGCAAGGACAUCAGCUCCUCCUAGACAAUGAUUCAAUCUUCCCUCUUCCCUCUGUUACACCCAUUUCAUACAACUAAUGCAGCCACAACCAGCUGACAGAUCUUCACAGUAAUAUAUUAAAUAAUACAGUAAUACAAUAUAUUACAAAUCAGCAGAACAGAUUUCAUGAAAACAUAAACCCAUUAUAUCCCAUAAAGAUCAACGAAUCAAAGUCUAUAGAAACAUACCUUUUCAUUUGUCUAUGGGAAGACAUAUUGUUCCCCUUGUCAAGUGAACAGAAAGACUGAUAAGACAGUCCUGAAUUGGCUGUACCAAUCAAAAUUUACCACAUUCUAUUAGAAGUGGUAGUUCCUGGCUAUCUUAAGGUAAAUAAACGAACAGUUAUCCCCUUUAGAUAUGAGAGUCUGCUAAAUUGAAAACAUACAUUUAAAUGUCAGCGUAGGUUGUUGAAGCUCAACAUUAGUAAGACGAUAACAGAACUACAGGUUGUACCUUCCUCCUUCAUGCUGCAAUAACAAACUCACAGAGUAACAACGAUCUGCACAUCAACAGACCCACAACACAGCCAUAUUGCAGUGUUAUAUAAGGACACUUCCAAGACUGACAGAGAAACAGAAAGAGAGAGACAGAAGGAGAGACAUAGAGAGACCUACCAAGCUUAUUUUGACUCAGCAUAAUCGUAGACAGCAAAACGGGCACAGCUAGCAAACUCUGACACUGAGCAGCAGGAUAGAGGACACACACUCUGUCUUCUCCCUCUCUGUCUUUCUCUAAUUCUAAACUGUUAAACACACCCAAAAGGACUGAUGCAUCUUCCUAUCUCUCUGCGUAUGGAAGCUGCUGGAAGCUGCUGCGCUUGUUUACCGUGCAGUCCAACCGCUGAGCCUGGAGGUAGAAGCUAGAGCAGCAGUGGCCCAUAGCAGGCUGCAGGGCAGACCAAUGAUUCAUUCCACACUGAUGCUGCUACACACCCAAAGAUAUGGACAGGGAGACAGAGAGAGCUGGGGAGGAAGGAGAGGCUGGAGAGAGGGGAGUAGAGGGAGGAGGUGUGGGGGAAGGGAAAAUAAGGGAAGGGACAAAAAAGAUGAAAUCAGGGGAGACAAAAAUAGAAAGAAUAAACAGAGAAAUAAAGAGAGAAAGAAAGGGAAGCGAGAAGAUGUAGCACUAGAAAGGAUGGAAAGAGAGGAGAUGUAGAACUACAAAGGAUGGAAAGAGGGGAGAUGUAGAACUACAAAGGAUGGAAAGAGGGGAGAUGUAGAACUACAAAGUGAUGUCAGCAUUACAAAGAAAGAAGAGGGAAGUGAGAAGGACUGGAUUGAGACAAAGGGAAGAUGAGAUUACUAAAGAGCCAGCAUGCCAGCCACACCUCUCAGCCAGCCUCACCUCUCAGCCAGCCACACCUCUCUGCCAGCCUCACCUCUCUGCCAGCCACACCUCUCAGCCAGCCUCACCUCUCAGCCAGCCUCACCUCUCAGCCAGC